rnacentral:rRNA from 1 species
CCCUUAGAUGUUCUGGGCCGCACGCGCGCCACACUGAUGCGUUCAACAAGUUUCCUUGGCCGAGAGGCCUGGGCAAUCUUCUUAAUAUGUAUCGUGAUAGGGAUAGAUUAUUGCAAUUAUUAAUCUUGAACGGGGAAUUCCUAGUAAACGCAGAUCAUCAAUCUGCAUUGAUUACGUCCCUGCCCUUUGUACACACCGCCCGUCGCACCUACCGAUUGGAUGUUCCGGUGAAGCCUCGGGAUUGUGGCCAGUUCACUUUAUUGGGAGUUGGCUGUGAGAACUUGUCUAAACCUUAUCAUUUAGAGGAAGGUGAAGUCGUAACA